rnacentral:rRNA from 1 species
UGGGGAAUAUUGCACAAUGGGCGCAAGCCUGAUGCAGCCAUGCCGCGUGUAUGAAGAAGGCCUUCGGGUUGUAAAGUACUUUCAGCGGGGAGGAAGGGAGUAAAGUUAAUACCUUUGCUCAUUGACGUUACCCGCAGAAGAAGCACCGGCUAACUCCGUGCCAGCAGCCGCGGUAAUACGGAGGGUGCAAGCGUUAAUCGGAAUUACUGGGCGUAAAGCGCACGCAGGCGGUUUGUCAAGUCAGAUGUGAAAUCCCCGGGCUCAACCUGGGAACUGCAUCUGAUACUGGCAAGCUUGAGUCUCGUAGAGGGGGGUAGAAUUCCAGGUGUAGCGGUGAAAUGCGUAGAGAUCUGGAGGAAUACCGGUGGCGAAGGCGGCCCCCUGGACGAAGACUGACGCUCAGGUGCGAAAGCGUGGGGAGCAAACAGG